UCUUACAAACUGCUCAGGUCAUCAGGUCACAAGCAUAUUUCCCUGGUACUCAUCUAAUCGAUUACAAUCCCAAGCGAGUGGGGUGGAGGGUCCUCUCUAGUCAUCACCACAGAACGCAGUCCGACACUGAACACAGAAGACGUAGCAGCUGAGCAAGACUUGAACCACUGGGCACAGGAAGUGGCUGGUCAGCCCAGUGGAGGUGGCGGCUGAGCCUUGCAGUGCGAGGGACAGGGACAUUGCCUGGGAAAGUGGUUUGCCCACCAAAGGAAGCUGGAGUGCCUCGGGGGGGAAGAGUGGAAUUUUGAGAGAAGUGCAAUAACAGAGGAAUGAGCACCUGGUGGAAAUGGAAGUGGUGCUGUCGUGUGCUCAUCUCUGGAAGUCGUGAAUGGAGGAACACGACUCAGCUGCAGGUCCUGGGAAGUGUUGAGGGGCUUCUAGUUAGUUCUAGGUAGAGGGAAGAACACUGCCAAAGGGAAGCAGAGCAGGAAGGGAAAUUGCUGUAUGGGUCCUGGCUUCUCAGCUCAUGUGAGACAUUCCCUGGGGACGUCCGGAUGAAGUGGGGUGGAUGGAAGGAGAAAUUUUGUAGAAGAAAUUCUCAAAGAGCAGGUGGGACAAGUGUCUAUGAAUGUGGCUUAUUGAUAUUGUGAAAUGUAAUUUUAUUUUAUUUAUUUUUAUUUAUUUUUUUUGUGUGUGUGUGAAAUGUAAUUUUAAUUUCUGAGUUGGAGUCCUCUGGAGAAACAAGGCCAUAGGACUGUAUGCAGCUUUCAUAAAGCCUCAAAUAUCAUCGAGGUUGGUUGGAUUUUUGACACCUACAAUCAGCCCAAAUCUGAAUUCACCAGCGUGGUUCCACCGAAGCCUUCUGGGCUCCAUUCCACAGUGCAGUACGAGUUAAGGUCUUUCUGAUCGCAGCAUAUUGUGGACUGGUAUUUGUAUAGCUUCAUUUUGCUGCGUAGGUUCACAACCAAGCUGUGAUCUGCAUGAGAUCCAAGUAGGGAGCUAGUUCAUUUGAAAAGAAUUAAGAUCCAGUGGAGAAUUAGCGGAUGAAAACAAAAGGUUUGCUUAACCAAGUGAAGUGCUUAUAGAGCAACAAUUACGUGUACAAGUUUUAUCCUUCAUGUUUCUUAGUCACGAGUGCUGAUCCAUGCAGCAGUUCUCUUACGAGGCUCCAAAAAAUACUAAUUACAGGAGGAGGGUUAUUCUAUCUGCUAUAACUAUAUUCUGACAGAUUACACCAUAAAGAAGUUUACCAGGGUGAAUGGUCCAACGCCUACUCAGCACACUAGCAAGAGCAGUUCUCUUCUAGAAACCUGAGCUCCGAUGAAAGCGUCUUCCAAGGUUCCAAAGCACAGCACCUUGGAUAAAUCCAGCGAAGCCCACUUUUUUUGGGGAAAUAUUGGCUGAGUUGCAUUGCAUUGGUACCAUAAGACUUAUUUGAGUUACAACAAGGCUUGAAUGUCUGAAGAAGUCCUUAGAGUAGAUCUGACUUCUAUUUGCAGUUCUAAGAAAUGAGGGUUUUUUAUUAUUAUUCUUCUUUUUUUAUUAUUUUUAUUAUUAUUUUAUUAUUUUUUAAAUUAUUCUUUUAUUCUUCUUAUUAUUAUUCUUUUAAUCUCAUUAAUUGUACGAUGUACGUGUUCUGAUUCACUUCUAUCUUGGCGAGGGUUUGAUGAAAUAUGUUAUUAGUGUCAUUUAAAAUAGUGAACUUGUUUAGCACCUGCAUAAUUUUAAUCUUUGCAUGCAAGUAAUCUUUGAAAAGUUGAGGUGGGAAUGAAAAUUAAUAUCUCAUGGUCUCUUGUUCUGGUCUGAGGUUUAAAAACAAAGAGUGAUAAGAAUUUAAUUGUUAUAGUGAUUGACUCUUCUCAAUCACUAUCACUAGUAAGGCAUGUAGAAAGAGAUGGAGGAAAUAAACUCUUAAAUAAGAGCAAAUGGGGACUAUGGAGAUUGGCAGGUUCCAGAAUGUUAACUGAGGUUCACUGGUUUCAAAAUAAUUCCUUCCCCCAGAAGUCGAAGGUGAUUUUAUACUUAUGGGUAAAUACCAAGAAGAGUUCAGAUACUACAAAAGAAGAUUGUAUGAAGAUUUCCUAGAUGAACAUGGCUGUCGUCUGAACCAUGCUGACCAUGGGCCUGGGGGUAUGGCAAAUUCCUUUCAGCAAAAUAGUAGGAUCUCUGGCCCAGAGUGAGCCAGCAACUUUAGGGGCAUGUCAUGAAAAGACAAGAGGCUCUUCAAAAUUAAAAUUUAGGCUCAAGGAUACAAUUUAAUCACCAAUCUGGCUUGGCAAUCUGUUAAUGAGCUCAGUAGGAAUGUUCUAAGAAUAUGGAUGAGAAAAAGGAAAUGCCAAGGGAACAGAGAGAAAAUACCAGAUGGAGAACAAGGAACCCAGGACUCAUAUCGGUAAUAGCAGCUUAGUCCUAAAAACUCGUUAAGAAUCUUUUCAAGGUUCCUAUUAACAGGUUUUGGAGACUCUGCCCAAACUCUUACAUGGAAAGGAACCGGCUUGAAAUGAGGAGGAAGGGUGCGUACAAAGGCCAUCAACAUGAACCAACUGAUUUGUACAUCUAACUGGCUGCUACCUGUAACUACUACUUGGGAUAUUGUGUUGGCUAUUUAUUGGGUUUAAGCAGGUAUUCAACUACGAUGAGUUAAAUUUGCAGAUAUUAGGUGAUUUUCGAGGGACCUGAGACCAGAAGCUUCAUUUCUCACUGAACCUUCCCUUGAUUGCUUUUACGUGAUCUAAAUUCUGUGGCUUGUUGGCAACGGUCCAUCUCUGCUCUCACAGAAUAUGUGCCUGUGGUAUUUGAUAGAUAACGUGGCUUAAGGUUGUGAAAUCUUAUUUUUAUCAUGAAUUUAUGCUCAUCCACCACCCCCCCCACACACACACACACACACACACAACCUUAUCUUCAGUUAUCCCCAACUGCGGACCGUUUCUCUAGGAAACGCUGACUUUGGCUGACUUUUGUUCACAGUUUCAGCUGACUUCGGGUGCCUUUGAUCAUUCAUUUUCAUGAUGUUCCAACCUGAAGCCAGAGGCUUAGACAAGGGAAGACUCUGGUUUGUGGAGACCUGGAGUCCUGAAAAGAGUGCUGAGUCUGGCCUGAGGGACGAAAUAGAGUGUAGGGGCCCCGGAGGAAGCAAUAAGAAUAGGGGAACAAAUAGCCAAAUAAGAGGUGACAUCUGGAGGGGACCGCCCCCUAGGGAUCAGGCCUAACAAAUGUAGUAAAGCGUAGCUUCCAUCACUCACACAACGCGUGGAUGUGAACUUAUUCCUGGUGGUUUUCCACCUCACCCCACCCCUCCUUUUUGGGUUACCUUUCUGACGUGGCCUUUGGAGGCAUUUCAGUGUGCUGUUUGAUUGCUCUGUGCUGAAUAAAGACAUUCACAGUUUCCCAUC